AUUCAUAUUCUUAGCAAAAAAAGUGUGAAGAAGCCAAAGUCGAUGAUGCAAGUGUAGAGUCUCUAAAUUCCUUAGAAGAGCAGUUCAAGGCUGCUCUGUCUAUAACUAGAGCUAGGAAGACACAACUAAUGAUGGAGUUUCUGAAAAAUCUUGAAGAAAAGGAGAAGCUGUUGAGAGAAGAGAACCAGAUUUUAGCUAGCCAGCUAACAAAGAUGGAGAAGAAGAGGCUUCCGGAAACAGAGGGUGUAAGAGCAAUGUCAUCGGAAAAUAGCUCCGGCAACAGCCCACCAGAGACCCUCCCGCUUCUAAAGUAACACUCAUCAUCGACGGCUGCUUUUGCACCAUAUCCUGAUUACAAAUAAAACAAAAUAAAUGUAAAAGAAAUAAUCAUAUGUGUAUCUUAAACAUCUUCUUCUUCACCUGAUCAUACGAAAAGUUGAAGAAAAAAAACUCAGGGAAAGCAUUAAAACUAUCUUUGUUGCUACAUUUGGAGACAUGAUCACGGUCUCAUAUGGUUUCUAUAUAUGUUUUGUAUGUUCUUGUGUCCCUUGAAACUAUGACUUAUUGUUUAUAAAGGUCUUGAUUUCUUCAGCUUGAAGAACCCUAAUUAAAAGCUAACUCAUUU